GACGAACGCUGGCGGCGUGCUUAACACAUGCAAGUCGAACGGAAAGGCCCUGCUUUUGUGGCGUGCUCGUGUGGCGAACGGGUGAGUAACACGUGAGUAACCUGCCCUUGACUUUGUGAUAACUUCACGAAACUGGGGCUCUUACCGGAUAUGAGCUCCUGCUGCAUGGUGUUGGUUGGAAAGUUUCGGCGGUUGGGGAUGGACUCGCGGCUUAUCAGCUUGUUGGUGUGGUAGUGGCUUACCAAGGCUUUGACGGCUAGCCGGCCUGAGAGGGUGACCGGGGUCAAGGGGACUGAGAGAGGGAGCAGACGGGUACGGGAGGCAGUAGGGGGGAGUCUGACGGAGUGGGCGGAAGCGAGAGGAAGAGACGUCGCGAGCGGGAAGAUGGGCUUCGGGUGGAAAACCGAUGUGGAAGGAGACGAGGAGGGAUUGACGGUAAUGGGUAAAGAAGCAACGGCUAACUACGUG
rnacentral:rRNA from 1 species